GAUGAACGCUGGCGGCGUGCCUAAUACAUGCAAGUCGAGCGAAUGGAUUAAGAGCUUGCUCUUAUGAAGUUAGCGGCGGACGGGUGAGUAACACGUGGGUAACCUGCCCAUAAGACUAGGAUAACUCCGGGAAACCGGGGCUAAUACCGGAUAACAUUUUGAACCGCAUGGUUCGAAAUUGAAAGGCGGCUUCGGCUGUCACUUAUGGAUGGACCCGCGUCGCAUUAGCUAGUUGGUGAGGUAACGGCUCACCAAGGCAACGAUGCGUAGCCGACCGGAGAGGGUGAGCGGCCACACUGGGACUGAGACACGGCACAGACUCCUACGGGAGGCAGCAGUAGGGAAUCUUCGGCAAUGGCCGAAAGUCUGACGGAGCAACGCCGCGUGAGUGGUGAAGGCUGUCGGGUCGUAAAACUCGGUUGUUAGGGAAGAACAAGUGCUAGUUGAAUAAGCUGGCACCUUGACGGUACCUAACCAGAAAGCCACGGCUAACUACGUGCCAGCAGCCGCCGUAA
rnacentral:rRNA from 1 species